AAUAUAGAAGCUCCGGCGGAGAACCUCUGAUAAACCCCAACACAAUAUACAAUGUUAUCCCGCGCACCUCCUCCUUCAAUUCAUAUUCAUUCAUAGAUUCUUGUUGUUUAUUUGAUCCUCGAUUUCUCGCAUUCAAUUUCGAACAAGGAUGCAAAGGCGAUCAACCAUGGUUCGGCCAGUGACUUUCUCCUCCUGUAUCCGAUUUGUCUCAAAUCUUGCCACUGCUUACAUGACCAAGCAUCAAAAGCUUGACGUGAAGCUGCAAAGAUAUUCCCCCGAUGCACCAGGAGAUAGCUUUGCUAAGCUAUCCUUGGAAGAGAAGAGUGAACUGUCCGAGUCUUCUGAGGAAGAAGAGUCCAAAGGUGCUAGCCGAGCUGAUUUUGUCUUCUUUGAUCCUAAGUCUGAUGAUUUUCAUGGAGUGAAGAUGUUGCUGCAAAAUUACCUUGAUAAUAAGCAGUGGGACUUGAGCGGUUUUGUAGACUUGAUAUUGGGACAGAGCACAGUGGGGACUGUUGUUAAGAAAGAAGAUGAUGAAGACGAUGGACUGUUUUCUGUUGUUACCGCCCUUAACUUGGGGAGAUAUAAGGAUCAUAAAUGUAUCAUGGAGAUCAGGGAGUUUCUCAUUGAAGUUUGUCAGGACAGAAAUGUAAUAGAUGAUCUGAGAUUACUCUGGACAGAGCAAGCACAUGAUGUAGGUCUUUUGGUCUCUCAACGUGUCACAAAUCUUCCACUACAACUUCUUCCACUUCUUUAUAGUGCUCUCUUCUAUGAAGUUUUAUUGGCUGCAGAAGAUGAGCCGACAGAGGAGCUCAGGAAGGCUUUGUGCUUCAAGUCUUAUUUGAUAGUUAGUAAAAUUUACAAGCACAAGAAUGCAGACUAUGAAAAGGGGGAAAGCUGUCAAAAUGAGGAAUUCAUAAUAUAUAUUAAGCCUGAAGAUGAAAUUUUUCACAAGCUCUGCCUGUGGUCCUUCUGUUUUCCUCUGCACUCGGAGGAUGUAACAACUCAUGAGGUAAGUAACAUUGCUGUUGUACUACUGUGGCUGUGCUGGUGAUUUAGAAGGCAGUGUAGGGGAUUUGGAAAUUAAUUUCAAACUGAAUGCCAGUGAUCAGAUGAAGGUAUUGCAAAUCAAUGGGUCUUCUACUUAUAAACAUUUUUGUGUCUUUUAACAUCAUAUUUCUGGUAAACCACAAGAUCCAUGAACUCCGACUACGUUUCAGUAUAUAUAAACAGCCUUCACAUAACCAAGGACAUGCGUCUCCCAUUGUCUAUCUCCCUUAGUUACUUUUUAGAUGCCAAUAUGAUUUUGUUCACGCAUUUAGAUUGACAAAAUAAUAGAUUACUGUUUCAUUAUGGUUUGCCAGGUUCUUUAUGCCACUGAUGGUUGCUGCGGUAGGAUGUUAGUCUUUUUUAUUUGAUUGCUUUUGCAGGUAAGCGAUUACAGGUUAAUGGGAUUAGUCAUGGCUGUUGAGGCACACAAAAUUUCUAGUUUUCUUGAGGAAUUACACUCUUUGUUUGUUGAAUCCUGAAGUCCCAUUAAAGGAAGCCAGUUAUGCUAGCGAAGAUCUCUAUCAGCAUGUGGUAAUCCUCGAAGUAACAUUCAGUUUGCUGGGGCCUACGCCUCACAUCUCCCGCCAUUGUUCUUAGUCAAAAUAAAAGAAACUCUUACUAUCUCAGUUUUUUGUAUGCAGUGCAGAUGUUCUUUUUAAAUCUGGGUGCAUAAAAAAUUUUCACCAGGGGAGUUUAGACUGUUGGAAUCGGAUUUUGAAAUCCUGACUUUUCUGCAACAGGCAGAUACUAGCCACAGAAUCACAGAUGCAUCAUUUUAACCUUUCGCCACGA